CCGCCCUGGGUUAGUCGGGACCUAAGCUGAGGCCGAAAGGCGUAGGUGAUGGACAACAGGUUGAUAUUCCUGUACUACCGAUAACCGUUUGAGAGAUGGGAUGACACAGUAGGAUAAGCUAAGCACACUGUUGGUUAUGUGUGCCCAAGCAUUGAGGCAGUCAAAGUAGGUAAAUCCGCUUUGAUAAUGCUGGGAUGUGAUGGGGAGCGAAAUUUAGUAGCGAAGUAGCUGAUUUCACACUGUCAAGAAAAGUCUCUAUCGAGGUUAAAGG
rnacentral:rRNA from 1 species